rnacentral:rRNA from 1 species
GACGAACGCUGGCGGCGUGCUUAACACAUGCAAGUCGAACGAAGAGCGACGGAAGCUUGCUUCUAUCAAUCUUAGUGGCGAACGGGUGAGUAACGCGUAAUCCAACCUGCCCUUCAGAGGGGGACAACAGUUGGAAACGACUGCUAAUACCGCAUACGAUCUAAUCUCGGCAUCGAGGAUAGAUGAAAGGUGGCCUCUACAUGUAAGCUAUCACUGAAGGAGGGGAUUGCGUCUGAUUAGCUAGUUGGAGGGGUAACGGCCCACCAAGGCGAUGAUCAGUAGCCGGUCUGAGAGGAUGAACGGCCACAUUGGGACUGAGACACGGCCCAGACUCCUACGGGAGGCAGCAGUGGGGAAUCUUCCGCAAUGGACGAAAGUCUGACGGAGCAACGCCGCGUGAGUGAUGACGGCCUUCGGGUUGUAAAGCUCUGUUAAUCGGGACGAAAGGCCUUCUUGCAAAUAGUGAGAAGGAUUGACGGUACCGGAAUAGAAACCACGGCUAACUA